GGAUUCACCUAGCCAGGGGACCUUAGGAAACUAUUAACUAGUUAAGGGAACUUAAGGGUGCUACUAACUAGCUGGGGGACCUUAGGAAACUCCCUGAACCCCUUGUUUUUAUACUUAGAAAACAGGAAUAAUAACAUUGAUUCUGUCCUUCUACUUCUAGCCAUGGGAUUCUUGGAAGAAUCAAAUUCAGUAAUAAAGUUCAUGGAAAGGCACAGUACCCAGGGAAAUGCUAACAGAUUAUAGUGAUUGUGACUACCAUGUUUUAAAUUAAUUCUGGCAAUUUUGCUACAGUGUUUCUGCUUUGAUAAGAGGGGGAAAAUUGUGCAGGUCCUGGCCUGGAGACAGGCAGUUAAGGGAGUAAGAGGAGAAGGGAACAAAAAGAAGAGGCUCAGAAAGUGAGACUAGGAUACUUCCCAACUUUCACAAAGAAAGUGGAGGCUGGCUGGGAGGAGUGAUUUUUAUCAUAUUUUAUAAAUGAGAAAACUUCUAAGAUAGGGAGACCUUAAUUGAUAUAAACUAAUUAACUUAUUGGUAUUGACACCAGACUGACUCCAUGUCACAGUCUCUCAGGAACCCCGCCCCCCACACACACUUUUUUGUUAUUCAUUGACUUUUAGACUUAGAAACUCAUCAUAUCACACAAAUGGAUAAGUACCUCAGCCCUCCAAAUUUCCUGUGGUGAAAUACUCCACAGACCUAAAGGAAUAAAACAGAUCCUAAGCAUAUUUAGUUGACCUUACUAGUUUUUGACUCCCUAACCUGGGGAGAUAUGCAAGGCCAGAGAGGCAGAGAACACAGUGGUUAAGAACAUGGAUCCUGAAUCCAGUCUGCCUGGGCUUAAUCUGGCAACUCUGGGUCACUGGGCAAGUUACUUAACCUCUCUGGGUCCCAGGUUCCUCAUCUGUAAAAUGAGGAUAAGAAAUAGCACCUGUUUAGGUUUUCUGUGACGAUUCACAAAGUAUAAAAACAUAGUAUACGUGCAAAACUAGGGACACAGCAAAAACAGUGCCAAGAGGAAAAUUAAAGCUAUAAACCCUUACAUUGGAGGAGCAGGGGGAGGAGGAGAAAGAUAUCAAAUUAAAAAACCUAACUUUACAAUUUAAGAACUAGAAAAAAAGAACAAACUAAACCCCAAGUCAGCAGAAGGAAGAAAGUAAUAAACAUCAGAACAGAGAUGAAAAGAACUGGAGACUAGAAAAACAAUACCACUGAGCCAUACACUUAAAAAUGGUUAAGAUAAAAGAUUUUGUUAUAUGUAUUUUAUCACAGUAAAAAUUUUGGAAAUGAAGAGCAUUUCAAAAAUGAAGUUCCAGGAAGAUUCCCUGGUAUAUAUUAAGAAUGCUAGUUAUCAAGGGGAAUUAACUCAAGAAUUUAUUUUUCUUUAUAGGUAUACUUUCUGGAGAGAUAAUAACCAGGUUUGUUUUAUUUGGGAGUACUCCUGAAACAAGAAAACCUUAAAUGAAUGAGCCUGUUUACUGAGAUCAUCCAGUUGAAGCAGAGAUGAGGAGAAGGAAGAGUCUAGUGGCUACUUUGAAGCAAGGGGUUCUGUCAAAGAAGCCAAUAAUAGGGAGUCCUUUAUAGAAUUCCAGGGCCAUUUGUCAGGGGUUACCAUGAUAUAUGGCUCCUUUGAGCCACUCUGGGAUACUGGGUUCAGCCCUAUGUAAAAUGAUGAAGAGUGAUAACAAAAAAAAUAAGGCAGGGUGAUAUAGAAAUAGAUCACUCAGCUAGGAAUCAGGAGACCUGGCUUUGAGAGGUGGCUCUGGCCAUAAUUGUCCCAAUGAUCAUCUCUUCUCUCAGACUCAAUUUAGCAAUUGGCAAAACGAGAUCAAUAAACAUCCCUUUCCUCUUAAACAGUUCACAAU
rnacentral:lncRNA from 1 species